rfam:Cajanus cajan Scaffold135370_27, whole genome shotgun sequence.
CGGCUCAUGAUGAUGAUUUAAUUAUCUUAGCGGAUUUCAGUGAGAUUUCUAUCAAUGAUCUGAUUGUUACACACACUGAAGCCA